CCAGUAUCACACACAUACAACCUGAAAAGGAUUAGUCCAUUUAGAACGUUACUUAGAGUGUGAGAAGGUUAAAUAUGAAAACAGUUUUUUUUCUUAUGGGAUAAAAUAAGUGUAGAGUUUUCUAAGAAGCUGUAGAUAUUUUCAAAGCACAGAGAGUUUUCUAGGUGAUGUCCAAAAUGUGCUGAAUAUUGUGUAUCUGCUUUAAAAAAAGAUAAAUCCUUAUAACUUUAUGGUGUCUCUUAUGGAAAAAAAAAAUCAUUGCUUCAUCCGCUUCUUCUCACCCAAUCUCAGCUGUAAGUACUCCAUAAAUAAGAUCUCUCUCGUAAAGUUGUAACUCACAGAUCUCACUGGCUGCCAAAAAACUUGCACAGAAAGAUUGUUUAUGAUGAAGGCUUCACUUUCCAAAUAAUAGUAAAAAAACUCUCUACAUUCAAAAAUAAAUGCAGGACUGAGAUAUAAAAAGUAUUUCAAGAUGGGCAUCUGCAUAUUAUGUGAGGUGGGCACAAAUAAUUUAUAUCAGCAUCAUUUUUACUGUGCUUCAGUGUAAAUAGCAUAUUUCCAUCUGGCCUGAUUUAUGGGAUUUUGGAUGUUCACUAAAUGGUUGAGUGAUUUUUAUCACUGGAUUUUGUAUUUUAAAGUCAUGUAAAUUACACAAGGAGAAAAAAAACCAAAAAAACUAGCAAAAUGAAUGUCCAUGAAUUAUUUGCUCCUUAGGGGACACGUGGCAGAAUCGUGUGCUGAAGACCACUGUGCAUUGUCAGUGGAUGAAUGAAAGAUUCCCAGAGUGGAGUCCACACACAACUCUUGAGCUAGCCACGAGGAAGAAACAGUACCUAUCAAAACCCAAGGAUGAGAGAAGUAAAGCAAAAAGGAGGAAUGAGUACCUGCCCAGAGGAGGCUGCACCCGAGCAGGGAGUUUUGUGCACAGCAAGAAACCAGGGCAGAAGGUGCCCUGGAUGUAGCCAGUGUGUAUGAAGAACUCAAUUCCCAUGAUGUCCUGGGUGCUGAAUCAUGUCAGCAACCUGGCUAUGCUGGGUGCUCUUUAGGAGCUCAGUGAUCAGGAGUGUGGAUAAAGUCUUGUUACGCUAAAUUUCACCAUUUCAUUAUUUUGCUUGGGACUCAGUCCCCAGACAGCGUUACCAUUUUAUUUACCUUAUACAUAAUUCAAGUCCAAAAGCCUGUGCUUUUUGAAAGAAAGGAGAAACAAAAACCUGGCAAUAUGCAGGGAGGAGAGGGGG